CGCACGGUGGAUGCCUUGGCACUAGAAGCCGAUGAAGGACGUUACUAACGACGAUAUGCUUUGGGUAGCUGUAAGUAAGCGUUGAUCCAGAGAUUUCCGAAUGGGGAAACCCAGCACAAGUUAUGUUGUGUUAUCGACAAGUGAAUUCAUAGCUUGUCAGAAGGCAGACCCGGAGAACUGAAACAUCUUAGUACCCGGAGGAAGAGAAAGAAAAUUCGAUUCCCUGAGUAGCGGCGAGCGAAACGGGACUAGUCUAAACUCUAUUUAUAGAGGGUUGUGGGACAAUAAAACUGAAUGCAAUUUGUUAGGUGAAAC
rnacentral:rRNA from 1 species